rnacentral:lncRNA from 1 species
CAGGAGGGCCCUGCAGCUGCACUAAUUUCUAGCUUCUCUCUGUUAACAAAAAGGUGGGGGGUGGGGGGAAAGCAAUCAGAUUUUUACUGGAGUAUACACCAGCCUUGGCCAAGUGCUUUGAAACUUUUAGAAUGUCUUCUUUCAUUGAAAAUAAAAGAAGCAGAGCUUAUGGUGUAAUAAGCCAAACACAACAGUUACUGAACUUGAGUCAACAUUGGAUACCAUUACAGCUUUCAGGAUAGUCAUGGGAAUGUAUGAAAUGACCUGCGCCUGAGCCUGAGCCAGGUCGCGGAGUUUGAGACUGACGCAAAGGAGGCACCCCCGCAGCAGAGAUGCUCGUCUUUCUGCCACACACCCUGGAGGACCCGACAGACUGGCAGCAGAAACUAAAGACUGUUCCUGCCGUCCUCUUUCCAACCUCUGCAUGCCCCAAGAGGGGUCUGACCCCGGAAUCCUGGAGUCCAGGGUGCCCCGCCGGGGCGCAGGAAGGAAACUCAGCAUACGAGUAAAACUAGAAAAAAAUGAUAGAAUGCGAUUUAUGUUGAUUCCUGGUCAAGUGAACACAAGCCGGCCCACUGAACCAGAAGAAAAGAGUAAUAGAACUCUUGAAAGAGAAGAUAAAACCCACCGUAUCCAGAUAUUGCUGGGAAGAAAAAUAAAAACAACUAUUAAAAAUUUAAAAUCACUUUUAGAAAGCUUCCUUGCAUUAGUGCUAUGAAAUAGAAAGAGUCUUGGAGAACAGGAUUUGUUCACGUUAAGUUGGGCAAGUCUUCUCUUCCUGGGCUCAGUUUCCUCAUCUGCAGUGCAUGAGGUCAUUGAACUCCAUAAGCCCUAAGGAUCCUUCUGGUUUCAAAAAUCCCAUAACGUCUGAUAUAGAACACUUACCUUGACAAAGCUCUUCAAGUCAUUUUCACCUUCACAUAUUGAUUUAUCUGUGUAGUGACAUUUAAAGUGAAUUCUAAUCAGGAAAUAAAAGGCUGAUUUCUUCAGUAGAAGAAAUUGACAAUAAAAAAAUGUGAAUACAAGAGAGAAACAAAGGCCUGAUUACCAGAAGUCGAUCUAUAGGAUACAGAAUGUGGCAUUGUACAAAGUAGAAAUUCCUUUCUAAAAUUUAAGAAGAAAUCAUUGUAACAUCAGGAAUAAACAGGAAAAAGGAGAAAGCAUUAAGAUUUUCCAGUCAAGGAGAGAUCUGGAAACAUAAUGAUUUACCUCCUGCCAUAGCAAGCAUGGUAUAGCAAAUUUUAUGAUUUGGGGUUGAUCAAAAUUAUUGUGUGACGAAGACAUAAUUAAAAAAAGAUUUGACUCUGUCUCUAACCUUUUUUAAGGAAGGAAUUAUUUUCUUAAAAAUCAAGAACAAAUCAAGGACCAAAUAUCUAUAACUAAAGCACAAAUUAAGUGUUCAGAAGAAUAUUGGGGAGAAAAAGCAGAAUGCAAAAGGAAAAAUGCCUUAUGGAAAGAGCAUAGGAUUAAUAGUAAAUGAGGAAGAACUAUGACUCCUAAAGAAUUAUAAAUUUUAAAUUGUAUGAAAAAUAAUAUUGGUAAAACAGAAAAACUAAGAGAUAAUUGUAAGUAAAUAAAAAUGAAACAAGAUGUGUUGCCAUUAUUAUUAUAUAUCAGCUGCCCCAGUAAAGCAAUAAUUCAAGGUCAAAUAACUUAGAAUGGUCAGCACCUAAUAGUCUUGGUAAAUAGAGCAGGUCAAUAAAUAUAUAUUGAUUGGUUGAUUGAAUAAGAAAUGCUUGCAGUUAUUUUAGGAAAAUCAAAGUUGCUUGGGAAGUUAUGCAUGUAAUUUCUUAAACUAAGCAAGUAUAAAUUUCCUUUUGAAACAAUAUAAAACAAAACCUUUCCUAACAGUUACCUCUAAAUCCUAAACAAUGAAAUCUUUUAUAAGAUAAUGUUUAUAUAUAGCAAAACCUAAAUUGGAAAUAGAUAAAAUGUGGAAAUAUAAAUGUGCUUCUGUAGAAAGAAAUUAUAUUUUAUAUCUUUGAUGGUUUUUGAUAGGUGGUUGGAAUAGGGAAAAUUCUGUGUGAACAAUUUACCAAAAAAAUGCUAUACUUUCCUCUAAACCAAUAUUUGGACAUAUAAAUAUUUUCCAACUGGGUUCAGUUUUUGAUAUGGCCAAAGAUAAUGAUAUGUUAUUUCAAGACUGUAAGUCAAAAUAAAAUUGAUUUGAAAUGGUCUGAAUUAAUGAGAUGCCUUCCAUCCUGUAAGUUUCAACAUUGUCAUCUCAAGUGAUAAGAUAAUGAUGGACCGUUUCUUACCAAAUAUUUUAUUAAUUAACUCACGAAGCUUGGCCUGUUCAGUCAGUAUAGACACUAUGUUCCGGUGCCUUGGAUGUGAUUAGCAAGAUGUGAUUCCUUUAAAUAAUGAGCUCAAAACACAUAUUAAAUUUAGAAGUGGUAAGCUUACAGGAAAAAGAAAGAUCUGCUGGGAGUGAAUAAAAGGAAAAAGAAAAAAUGGCUUUGUGAUUUCUAUCAAUGGUGUGCAUGUGCGUGUGUGUGUGUGUGUGUGUGUGUGUGUGUGUACGUGUACUUGAAAGAGAGAGAGAAUGCAGGCAACAGGCAAGCUGGUAAGAAAUUUGAUGAAAUAGAGAAUAUGUCAAUGAUGUAUCCUAAGAAAAAAUAUAGAAUUUGAGGGCACAGAGUAAUUCUAAAUCCACCUCCAAUCCCAUGCAAUGAAAUAUUUCCUCGUCCAGCACUGGGAGUACUUGUGAUAUACGGCUCACCUCACUAAAUCUAAUAUCAUUUCAGCCCAGAGGGACACAGAGCAUGGUGACUGACUUAGCCUUUUUGAGGGAAGGGAUUUUGUUGACUGUUCAAAAUGUGUUGUCCUUAAUGGGAGGAUUUUUUUUCAAAUAAAGGUAAAUAAUGAUUUUUGAAGACUAAUACCUGUGAUGAAAAAUUAGUGUAAAAGAAAAUUUAUACUCAGUAGCAUCAUAAAAUAAGUAUAAUAUUAGCAGUGUGCUACAAAUAUUAUUUCUAAUGUUAAUACUUAAAGUGAGCUGAUAAUGAAACCAAUUCAGCUUAGUAUUAUUAAGCUUAUGCUUUUAUUUAGCUAGUUAUUUACAUCUGAAUCUAUGUCUACAUAUAGCUAUUCUAAAUAACAUUUGGAUAUUUGGUCUAUUUAAAAGUCUUUUUCCCCUCUUGUAAUAAAAAUGUUUUUAAAUUAUCUCCUAAUAUUUAGAAAAGAAGGAAAGUAUCUAUUAGAUAUUUAUAUCUUGUACUUGUGAGGGGUAAAACAGUGGAACUUAGAACUUGAAAGACUGCCUUGUUUUAGAGGGAAAACAAAGAUGCUAUUUCUGGCUAAUAAUUGUGAAUGUAACCUGAACCUUAAUUACUAAGGUAAAAAUAAACAAGUUCAAGAUACAAUCUCUUGCUAAAGUCUAUUCUUCAAUACAUUUCUUAAUACACAUGGUAACAUCUAAGAAUAAAAUUUCCAAGGAGGAAUGUGUCCUAAUGCAAUUACCUUGGAAAGUUUUCAUAUUUCA